UACGUAGGGUGCGAGCGUUGCCCGGAUUUAUUGGGCGUAAAGGGCGCGUAGGCGGUCACGCACGUCCGUUGUGAAAUCGCUCGGCUCAACUGGGCGGGGUCAGCGGAUACGGCGUGGCUGGAGCAAGCUAGGGGGCAAUGGAAUUCCCGGUGUAGUGGUGGAAUGCGUAGAUAUCGGGAGGAACACCAGUGGCGAAGGCGGUUGCCUGGAGCUUUGCUGACGCUGAGGCGCGAAAGCCAGGGGAGCAAACGGG
rnacentral:rRNA from 1 species